UUUUCUGCCACCGAAUACAUUAGCAUGGGAUAAUGGAAUAGGACCCUGUCCUCCUAUUUUCAGUUGGUUUUGGCAGCGCGAGGACUAGGGUAAUGAUUAAUAGGGAUAGUUGGGGGCAUUAAUAUUUAAUUGUCAGAGGUGAAAUUCUUGGAUUUAUGAAAGAUUAACUUCUGCGAAAGCAUCUGCCAAGGAUGUUUUCAUUAAUCAAGAACGAAAGUUAGGGGAUCGAAGACGAUCAGAUACCGUCGUAGUCUUAACCAUAAACGAUGCCGACCAGCGAUUAGGAGACGUUGAAUACAAAACACCACCAUCGGCGCGGUCGUCCUUGGCGUUCGUGUUCACGCACGAGCGCGAGGGCGGUUUAGCCCGGUGGCACCGGUGAAUGACUCCCU
rnacentral:rRNA from 1 species